rnacentral:lncRNA from 1 species
AAAUUGACGAUGAAAUUAAAGGGUACAAUGAAGGCACAACUUCCACUAAAGAUGGAGCUUCGACGGAGAGCAGAGUAGUUAAUGCAAAAGAGAACAUCAAUGGGUCACGUUUUAAUGUACUUACUAACGAUAAUGAUGAUACCACUAUUGAGGAGACAAUUGAUGUCCAUGAUCUUAAUGUCAAUCAACAUGCAAUAACAAGCACAAACGAGGGAGCAAAAAUGCUAAAUUCAAAUAGUGAAAUGUUAGAUCAACAUGUAGAAGAAAUAGAAG